AGAGUUUGAUCCUGGCUCAGGAUGAACGCUAGCGACAGGCUUAACACAUGCAAGUCGAGGGCCAGCGGGGAGUAGCAAUACUUCGCCGGCGACCGGCGCACGGGUGAGUAACACGUGUGCAACCAACACCGUACCGGGAGAUAACCCGCGGAAACGUGGACUAACAUCCCAUAAUACUGGAGGAUCGCAUGAUCUUUCAUUUAAAAUUCCGGUGGUACGGGACGGGCACGCGCGACAUUAGGUAGUUGGCGGGGUAAGGGCCCACCAAG
rnacentral:rRNA from 1 species